rnacentral:rRNA from 1 species
UACUUUAUUUGAUUUUUUUAAGUUAAAUUUAUUAACUAAUUGAUUAUUUUAUUUUUGUUGAAACAACAGAAAAUAAUAUCUGGUUAAAUUUUUUUAUUACAAAUAUGAAAAAAAAAAAAAUUUUGUUAAAUAUUAAAUUAAAUUAUUUAUAUUAAAAAAAUUUUUUAUAAUUUUUAUUUUUUUUAUUUUUUUAAAAAAAAAAUAAUUUAAUUAUAAUUAUUUAUAUAAAUUGAUUAAUUAAAUUUAAAAAUUUAAAUUAAAUAAAUUAAAAAAAAAAUGUUUUUUAAAUUCUUUGAGGUUUUGAUUUUUGAUUUUUUGUUUCUGCUCAUUGUUAAAGAAAAGCACUUUUAGCGCGAUUGGCCAAAGGUACCAUUUUAGCGUGAUUGG